rnacentral:rRNA from 1 species
AACGAACGCUGGCGGCAUGCCUAACACAUGCAAGUCGAACGAGACCUUCGGGCCUUGUUGCGCACGGGUGCGUAACGCGGGGGAACCUGCCCUUAGGUUCGGAAUACCUCCCCGAAAGGGGUGCUAAUACCGCAUAAUGUCUUCGCACCAAAGAUCUAUCGCCUUUGGAUGGGCGCGCGUUGGAUUAGCUAGUUGGUAGGGUAAAAGCCUACCAAGGAGACGAUCCAUAGCUGGUCUGAGAGGAUGAUAAGCCACACUGGGACUGAGACACGGCCCAGACUCGGACGGGAGGCAGCAGUGGGGAAUAUUGGAGGAGGGGCGAAAGCCUGAUCAAGCAAUGCCGCGUGAGUGAUGAAGGCCUUAGGGUUGUAAAGCUCUUUUACCCGGGAUGAUAAUGACAGUACCGGGAGAAUAAGCACCGGCUAACUACGUG